UUCAGGUACUCUUGAAUAGGAACAAGAACUCAUUGCACUAGGACAGAUGGAUCCUCUAGGUCGCACAAUAGGAGAGUCUGACUCAUUGGAAGCUCUCCUUGAAGAUCGAAACCCCAUCCGUCCUCCACCACCUCUCGGAGAGUUCGAGAUCAGUCCGCAACUCAUCACUCUGGCCGAACAUCACCAGUUCCAUGGAUUGAAUCAAGAGGAUCCCC
rnacentral:lncRNA from 1 species